rnacentral:rRNA from 1 species
AUGGCUAAGGAUUUUGAAAGUGGUAUUCAAGCUAAGUACCAAGCUUAUGUCACCCAGCAGGAUAAGCAGUUGCAAUUCCAUACUACUCAGAACAAAACUCCUACUACUACAGCUAGAAAUACCUCAGUUCCACCAGCAGCACCUGCAACUAGGAAACCUGGUGUCUGCUGGAGAUGUAAUGGGCCAUGGGUCCCAGGGCACAAAUGCAAGCAAUCUCCAAGCAUUCAUGCUAUUGCUAGUGAAAAUGAAAGUGAAGAAAUGUCCCAAGAGGAAGAAGCACAACUAGCAGUUCUAGCUGCUGAAGGGCAAUUUUUUGAUAGUUCUGACAAAUGCAUGCAAAUAUCUGCACAAGCAGUUUCAGGCAACACUUCUGAAGGAACACUAGCUGUCCAGAUCAUGAUUGGGAACAAACAAGGAGUGGCACUAAUUGACACAGGAAGUACAAACACUUUCAUUGACAUGAAAUUUGCUCUUAAGGUCAAUUGUCCCCUCUUGAACACACCCACAAAAAGAGUAAAAGUUGCUGGAGGAGGAUCAUUGAAUUCUGGAGCAAUUGCACCAAAUGCAAGUUUCAGAAUAGGGAAUGAAACAUUUUCCAAUGACCUAACAGUGCUUGAUCUGCAAGGGUAUGAUGUAGUCCUGGGUUGUGAUAUGCUCAAAAAGCACAGCCCCAUAUCUCUGGAUUUUGAAGCAAGAACUGUCACUCUCAAUAAGGACAAAACCAAGCUGGUCACAUUUGUAGACUGCACUGCUAGUGAACCUCCUAAACUAAAUUCAUAA